rnacentral:tRNA from 10 species
GGUCUGUUGGCUCAGUUGGUAGAGCACAUCGUUCACAUCGAUGGGGUCACUGGUUCGAGUCCAGUACAGACCACCA